UGUUGCUGUAACACGAGCACACACCCUGCUGUGGGCUGGUUGGAGAGAAAGGACUGUGUGUAUAAUUUGUCAAUAAAUUAACCAGCAGCUAUGCAGAAAUGAUGCCUGUGGUUAAAUUCCAUUCUUAAUAGGUUAAUCGGGCAGACACGGAGAAACAGCUGCACAUUAGAUCAGGUUAGUGCAGGAUUUGUAAUGCAACCAAACAUGACCAGGCACCUGCAUGGAUUAUUGACAUCUGCCCCAUCCAUCUACAAAAAAGAAGCAUGUUUUUCUUUUUCCAAAAAAAGGAAUCCUCCCCCCCCAAUUAAAUGCAGUUAUUUAGUUAUUUAGGGUUGUGUCCAACUAAGUCUUACCUGGAGAAGACCCCCUGAAAUUAUUUUUAAUAAGCCUGCUCUGAGUAGGACUAACAUUGGACACAACCCUUAAGUUAUAUAAUUUCUUUUUUAAAAAAAACAAAAAAACUUUUAUUGAUAAAUGCAAUACUUACAAACACAAACCAGAACACUAAACAAACUUAUUAUGCAUAGAUGCAUACACCUCAUGCUGGCUACAUGACCUGGAAGCUGUACGCCGGCUCCCUUGGCCAAUAAAGCGAGAUGAGCGCCGCAACUCCAGAGUCAGUCACAACUGGACCUAAUGGUCAGGGGUCCCUUUACCCUUACCUUUACAUACACCUCUCAACUAAGAUUACAAAAAAAACAACAAACAUACAAACUAAAAAUACAGACAUAAAUUUUGACUUCUGUAUAUGUGGCUUCCUUUGUUUCUUUUCUUCUUUUUGCUGUGUUAUCAAUCUUAUUUUUGACUAUCUCAUCUUAUACCCAUUUCUUCUCAAUUUUUUACUCUAUAAGUUUCAUUCAUUGCAUAUUGAUAUAUUGAUAUUGAUAUAUUAAUACCAGAACAAUGUUUUUUGAUGUAUUCCUUCACGCACGUCCACUCCUCUAUCAGUUUUUUAUUUUUGAUUGGCCUCUUACCCCUGCUGUAAGUCUUGCUGAUUCUAUAUAUUCACAAAAUCUUAUUUCCCAUUCUCUUAUUGAAGGAGUUUUUUCUCCCUUCCAAUUUUUUGCUAUAAUCAUUCUGGCCGCAGUUAUAUCAUUUCAACAAAUUUUAUACUGGUUAACACUACAGCUUCUAAGUGGCAUACAAUGAUUGUAGAGAGAUAUCCUCCAAGUUUCCCUAUUUUCCAGGGACAGUCCUAGAUUUACAGAAGCCACCCCUGUUUCUGAUUAGACCCCAGAAUAUCCUGCUUUCCCUUAGGACAUCCCUAUUUUCACUGAAGAACUGUUGGAGGAUAUAUGAAUGAGAUAAUUCAGUUGAAGUUAAUAAUAAAGUUAGAAAAGCUUUCUUAAAAUGCCUGCUGAAAUAAAUAAAGUCUUCACCACACACCAAAAGUUCAACAGGGACAGAGCCUGUCUGAUCUCAGCCAGAAAUGGGCCCACAAUGCACGUCUCCUGUGGAGUUCAAGACAAUGAUCUCAGGGAUCAGGACUCCCCAAAGUCCAAGUUUCACCAGGAAGUGGUCUGACCAUGACAAUCCUCCCCCCUAAAAUGUAUAUGCUGAUUAAUUAAAAGCAAGAACCACCGCUUAAAAACAGGCAAUGGGGUUAAUGCACCCCUCCCCAAUAUCUGGACCACUCCUCUCUCUGUUUGCGAUGCCCACCAGCUGAUAUUCAGAGCCAUGUGCUGCCUCAGAAAGUGGAGGUAGAGCACAGCCCCUGUCUGGGUCAGGAUUGGUUCAGCUGCUGGUCAGCAUAGCAACUCAGAGACGAGCAAUAAAGUUGACUACAGAGAAACCUACAGCCAGAACUGACAAUCUGUGCCUCCCUCUUCCCUCUAAGUCUCCUUCGUGUCUGGCUGCUUUCCCAGCAGUCUUGAACUCCAUUGGGGAGCGGGGCCCUGUGCUCUUUCCUCUGCAAAGCUCUCUGUGCCCUUGGAGACAAGGGAGGAGGGGAGCUGAAUACAGUAGGACUGGCAGGCUCCUGUGAAUCUCAGUCCCCACCUCCUCCUCAGCUGCCUGUUCUGUGUCUGCAGUGCUCUCUGCCUCUUCUUCCUCUCUCUCACUCUAGCCUGUUCUUUUUCAGCAUCCAUCCAUUCUGCCCUCACUUCAUCCUCUGACCUAUCUUCCUUAUCCCACCACCACUCCCCUGGCUCUUCCUCUUCCUCUUCUGAGACUUCCCUGAAGGGCUUUCUGGCUGCAGCCUCCCACCAUUCCUCGUCGUCCAGAUGGUCCAUAACACUCUGUGGCUAGUAGCCACUAUUAGCACUACCCUCUAUGGAAUUGUCUAAUCCUCUUUUUUAAAAAAAGAAAAGAAAAGACAUCUUCCCAUGUAGCUGGCGAGCUAUUUCAGUGUUUGUUUUAAUCUUAGUCUUUCUUUUUUAACACCUUCCAGGCGAUAACAGCUUUGGUGGGAAACGCAGCUCGGGCUUCUUAGCAGCUGUGACAGAGUCAGGUGAGGGGAAAUAGAACAAAGAGCAUCAUCAAAGCACCAUCUUGUUGGGUUCUAAGUGGAGCAUCAUGCUGCCUGCAGCAACGAGACGAUAGGACAUGCUGUUUGGGAGAGGUGGCUCGGUGACACUUCUCCUAUAAAUAAAAACUGUCGAGCCAGCCUGUGUGAAGUAUCCAGAUCCCAGAAAAAGAAGCUUGCUAAUUAGUGUAAAAGGUACACUAUGCUUCAUUAAGGACACGGCUGCUCCAUCUUCUGGCUGUGCUUCCUGUUGACAGCUGGUUGCAGGCCAAAGUUCAAAUGGUGCAGCUUCCUGUUAACUCGAUGUCAGUAAUGGGGAAAGCUGCACUUUGGGAGUAGGAAAAUCAGUUAUUUAAUCAAUCGCUUAGUCCUCAGAAAUGUAGGCAGCUGCCUUUGCACACAGGCACUCCCAGGUUCAAUCCCAGCAUCUCCCGGCAGGGCUGGGACAGAUGCUACUCUGAAAUCAUACAGGGUUGGAUUUGAUAUCCCGCUUUAUCACUACCCGAAGGAGUCUCAAAGCAGCUAACAUUCCUCUUUCCCUUCCUCCCCCACAACAAAC
rnacentral:lncRNA from 1 species